UACGAAGGGUGCAAGCGUUAAUCGGAAUUACUGGGCGUAAAGCGUGCGCAGGCUGUUUUGUAAGUCAGAUGUGAAAUCCCCGAGCUCAACUUGGGAACUGCGUUUGAAACUACAAGACUAGAAUAUGUCAGAGGGGGGUAGAAUUCCACGUGUAGCAGUGAAAUGCGUAGAGAUGUGGAGGAAUACCAAUGGCGAAGGCAGCCCCCUGGGAUAAUAUUGACGCUCAUGCACGAAAGCGUGGGGAGCAAACAGG
rnacentral:rRNA from 1 species